AAUGAACGCUGGCGGCGUGGAUAAGACAUGCAAGUCGAACGGAGAAUUAGAAUAGCUUGCUAAUUUAAUUCUUAGUGGCGGACGGGUGAGUAACACGUGAGAACCUGCCUUAAAGAGGGGGAUAGCCAUCCGAAAGGGUGAUUAAUACCGCAUGUGACCUACGGGUUAAAGAUGCCAUUGGUAUCGCUUUGAGAUGGGCUCGCGGCCUAUUAGCUAGUUGGUGAGGUAAAGGCUUACCAAGGCGACGACGGGUAGCUGGUCUGAGAGGACGAUCAGUCACACUGGAACUGAGACACGGUCCAGACACCUACGGGUGGCAGCAGUCGAGAAUCAUUCACAAUGGGGGAAACCCUGAUGGUGCAACGCCGCGUGGAGGAAGACGGUCUUUGGAUUGUAAACUCCUGUCAUCUAGGAGUAAGCUAUAGGAGUUAAGAGCUGUCUAUAGUUGAUAGUACUAGAAGAGGAAGGGACGGCUAACUUCG
rnacentral:rRNA from 1 species